GUUAAACAUAUGUUAACGUGAGUUCUGAGUGUAUCUUCUGAAGGAAACUAUGUUUUACUUUAGCCUUGCAAACUAUUUCAUUUCUCUCAAGAUCAGGUCAUGAGAUCUCUGGGCCUGACAAGUAGAAAAUUAAGACAAUGGUAUCUACAAUUAGAGUGUGAAGUUCAAAUGACGUGACAUGGGAAGAAGUUAUGGAAAAGGAUCCUGUCCCUUUGCUUGUGUUUGAAGUGUAAUACAUGUGGUUUAACAGUUGUGAGGGAUCCUCUUGGAUCCAGUGAUGCUACUUAAGGUAGAAAGCACCAGAACAAGCAGAAAAUGGUGCAAAAUUUGCUAUAUGAAACACUGGUAAAGGUAAGAUGGAAUGCAGCAAAAAUCGAUGUGCUUGUGCCAGUGCUAUGAUACUAAAUAUUUCAAAUUAUUCUGCUUUGCCCUCCUGCCUAGAAUGUUGACUUGUGUGUGGAGCUGAAUUAAACUCUUCUACAUGCAAGGGGUUCCAAUUCCCCAGUUAUUUGUGAGAUGCUUGAUGCAGUUGUCCUUGAUGAGCUAGUGGAUACUUAAAGAUGUUGGAUUUCUCUGCUGAUUCCAAUUGAGGUGUUUGAAAGUCAGCAGUUUGGGGUUUAUGCACAGCAAUGGGUACUUGAGAGUCUGUGGCCAUUUAUGCUUUUGGAUGUCCUGGAAAAUAAUUUAGUGAAUGACAGGUCCAGAGCAAUGGCAAUGUGUGUGAGCAGUCAGCUGGGAAAAAAGAGAGCCUGGUUACAGGAAUUAUAAAUGAGAACAACAGUUGGACUUGAGGAGAACAAAAUGAGCUAAAAAUACAGCCCAGGAGUAAAUGGUCAGAAAUAAAGGGAGACAGUUUGGACUUGAUAAUAGUUUUGUCUCCAGUAAACACUCUUAAGCUCAUGUUCCUGAAGGAGGGAAAAUAAUACAGAAGUGAAAUCUACACCAAGGGAGCCACUCAUCCAUCCUGGAUAGAUCUCUGAAUGCUGUAGCUGCCUGGGAAUGGGAGAAGAAGAAAAGGAACCACAGGGGAGGUUUGGUAUCUUGGCUGCCAAGGGCAAAAGAGAACUUGCAGUUCUCUGGGUACAACAGAUGAGAUUUCUGCUGCACACAGAGAAAAUGAGCCUAACAAUGACACGGGCCUGUAGAUAAGAGGGAGAGCUGCCAGGAUGAAAGAAGGUAGCUAUUUGGCUGUGGUACAGAUUUUCUUUUGAUUGUCACUGAAAAACAUCCCCUGACUGGCAUGGAACAUGAAUCCUUUCCGUGAAGAUAUUGCCACGCCUUUUGCUGGGAGACUUGGAGGGCUGAAUGCUAUCCACACCUCCCAGCUGUGCUGCAAAGGGACCGGUGCCAUGGCUUUUGUGUGAGGCUGCCCAGUGCCCAGUUUGCCUUUCAGAGGGAAACUACUUUGUCUUUGGCUGGUACUGAACAAGGUUUCACAGGCCUUGGACAAAUUGAACAUUGUUUGAAACCAUGCAUUCCUCUGCUGGCUGCUGUUCCUCAUGUCUGUUUCUCUCCUGUUUAUUGAAGUUCUUCUUACAAACUUCUUCCCAGUGGUCAUAGCUUGCACUUUCCUGUUUGUGGUUUGUUACUAGAUCAGACUGGAGCACUUGAAUAGCUGUAGUUAGGUGUUAAAAAUGCUGCAGUUCACUUACAAGAGCUGUAACUGAUGAAGUCCCUCACAGUGAACUUCUUGGAAAAUAUUUUAAUCCAAUUUCACUGGAUUAGCAGCACGCAUACAAAGCAGCAGGUGGUCUAGUGGCUGUAAUGGAGUAUUUAUUUCCUGUUUCUCGGGUUCACAGAGACAUUCUGAAGUUGCUUUCAACCUGAUUUACCCUUUAGUCCUGAGUUUUGUAGUCAAAUUUCCAUACAGGACAUCUUCCUUAGCUGGGUAUCACUGGAAAGGAGAAGCAGGCAGGAGAAGAGAGAAGGAGGAAUAUUUUUAUUAAUUCUGAUGGCUUAAAAUCAACCUUCCUCAAGCCAUCUCAUCUUCCUAAAAGCAGUACUGCCUGUACUGAAUUAGAAACUCAUUAACACAUCAGUCACAUUAAAAACCAAACCCAAACAGCUUGGGAAUAGAUUAUUUUUUGGGGCAUCUCCCAGCAAGUCAAGAAACUCCCAUAACUCAUCCUGGUGACAGGCAUUGUUGACCUUGUUUAGCAAAUACAAACUGAUUUCACCCAAGCACUUUGCCAAAGAACUUACCAAAUAACCUGCAAUAACAUCUUACUGCAUUUAAAUAUGGGGUAAAGACAAAAAAAAAAAAUUAAAAAUGCUACAAAAGCCUGAUGGCAAAACCAGUAUAAAGCCUCUGAAUAAUUGCUUCUCUUCUAGGUCUUUGUUUUAUUAAAAAGUGUUGGGCACAAAUACCCACAAUCUUAUCCAGGAAGACGACAGGAGGACAAAAGCUGAACACAAACCAAGCCCCUACAGGAGUCUGGAGCAGCAUAAGAUCAUUAUAACAGCUUGAACCAUUUGUACUGCCUUCUUUUAUGAGGAACAAAGGCAAUUCAUUCAUUUGGGCUGCUGGUGCACACCAGCAGAGAGAAAGGGUAACAGCAUAAUCUGUCAGGGCGUUGGCUUGGCAGGCAGUGGGUUGUGUUUCCACCUGGAGGCUGCCAAGUCCUGACUGAGUCCAGAUUUCAGACUUCAGUCUCUGCCAUUGGCAGCAAAAUGAAGGAUCCUGUGAAGGGGUGUUUGCAAAGGGCCAAAUGCUGCGCCAAGAACAUCUCUUAUACAUCCGUCAUUAUAGGGACAGAUAUUGCACAGGAAAUGCUGAAAGGAAUAGAGAUGCUUUUAUAAAUGACAGCUUGCUUUUUAGAAUUGCUUCUUCCUCACUCACACCCUCCCCCCCAAAAAAAAACCAACCCACAAAAAAACCCAAACAAACAAAAAACAAACCAAACCAAACAAGAAGGCAAAACAGAACAAACAAGCAAAAAACCUGGGAAGCUUCCUGAAGAAAUGUAGUUGCCUGAGGCAAGAAUUUAUGACGUCUUGCUGGGCUGGAAACUGGUUGCUUCCUUGGACCAGAGGAUGAGCAAGGGAAGGAAGUGAGGUAAUUUCACACAGUUGUACCUCUGUUUGAGCAGGUGAUCUGGAUGUGGUUGAAAUUUUAAAACUUAUGUUGUUGUAAUUCCCUGAUAACUUUCUUGUUGUAAAGUAUUUAAAUCUUGAUAGUGUGCCCCAGCCAAACCAUUUUUAGUUAUUUUUACCAGAGUCCUCAGAGUGAGACCAGGCUGGAAUUACCCUCAUUGGCUUCACCUGGCCUUUCCACCUUCAGCUGCAGCACAUCAGCCCCAAGAGGGGUUUUUAAGAUCCAGUCUGAAGACUCGAGGGGAGACCAGGGGCCGUUUUAUAUCUGCUCCUUCUCUUUUGCUGGCUUGUUGUUUGGAUUUCCUGGACUAACUUGGCUGCUGAUCACUGGAUGGGUUUGGUUGCUGUCAUCAUCUUGAUGCUGCUUGCCUGGAUCAGGAGCCCCACCUGUUAGAGCCCUCAGGAAUUCAUCAAGGACUGAAAGAACAUCUGCUCCAGCGUUUCUAGCACAGCAUGGAAGAGCAUUAUCCUGGUUUCGGGCUUAUCUGGCUCCAGCAGCAUCAGGAAUCCCAGCCAUCAAUGUGCUCCCUCUUGAGAGCAAACCCACUGCAGGUGUGUCAGCUGGCUGCACUCACAUCCACGGGCUCGUGCUCAUGGCACAUCACCACAACUGCAAAUCUGGGGGAGUUUUACAGUUAUUUAUUGCCCUACCGAGGAACCAGCUGACCUAAUCACUCUGGGUUUUGUGAUUCAUGUGAAGAACAGUAACUGAUGUCAGCCAGAAAAGAAACAUCUGAAGCUGUGGGCAAAUUUCCAUUAAAGAUUUUUCUGAAGCUGUUUUGUUUAUCACCACGAUCAUCUGGAGCUGUGCAAUGUGACACCAAGAUCCUUGCUUGAAGUGCUGAUGGUUUUACCAAUGACUUGGUGACAGCCUCAGCCCUCCUCUGACACGAGCACAAGCAGGGACAGCACUUCCAUUUCAAGCACAGCAUACAUCCCAAACCUGUCAAGUGAGUGGCAAGGGUGGCAGUGCCUGUCACAUCUCUGCUUUUGGAAAAGAUCAGAACCCUGCUGGCACAGCCCUACUGCAGUUUCUGUAGCAGAUCUCAGACAAGAUGUUCCCCAGGAGACUUUUUGAGAUCACUGCUUUUCAGAUACCUGUUCUCUCCUUCAUCCUAACCCCUUCUACUGCCUUAAGACAAAAUCCUCUCAAGUGCUUAAGAAAAUAUAUUUCCUCAGAAAUUACAGGAAUAAACCCUCAUGGCUCUACAGAACUUGGAUCUGAGAAAAGAGAGCUUUCACCUUAGGAGAAGACAGCCAGUAUUUCUGAUAAAAAGUAAAAUUUAUGGGACUGAAGUUUACCGUACUGCUGAGUGAAAUCUGAGACAUGACAUCCGUGUUGGCAUUUCUGCUGUAGAAGAAUUUACCCUUCAUCCACAGUCUUUGCCAGGCUAUCACUGGUACAUAGCACUGAGGAGAAGUGGGCAUGAUAAUUAACAUGGCUUAAUUUGUCACCAAGACAUUUUGGCUGUUUGCACUUAAUAAGUCAAAUUUUUUGGUUUUGUUAAAGAGGAAAUUUCUGAGCCUUCCAUAAAUAAAGGAUUGUUGAAGCUGUCAGCUUCUGAUCACUGGUGUACGGUGAGACCAGUUUAUUUUUCAGCUUCAGCAUCCUCUGGAACCUGAUUGAUUUUUAUAUUGCUUUUCUGCCUGAACAUGAUUCCAUCUUCCCAGAUGAAAACCUGAUACCUUUUCUUCAUGGAGCUCUGGACACAUGAUGACAUUUGAGAAGAAAAUGUCAUUUUGUGCCUGAUGAAGGUGUGAUGAGGUGUGCUGGCCUGGCAGGCCCAGAAGCUGGAGCACAAUCAGAGACAUUAAUGCUAAACUGCAGCAUAAGAAUUGAUAAAUUCAGUAAUCUCAUGGGUACUUUUUGUUGCAAAUGCCAUCCUGAUUGGGUUGGUUUUGCUGUAGAGCAAGAGCAGGUGUGCCUUGAGAGGUUGUGUUGUUUUACAGGGAAGUGCCCCAUCUAAAGGGAACUGCAAGUGAUCGUGGCUUUUAGAUAGUUCUCUCUAGAAGUUAAAUGCUUAUUCCAGCAUAUUUAAUCCUUAAAAAUGGCAAUUAAUAAUUAAAUUUUCCAAGUGGUUAAAUUUUUCCAGUGGAGGAUACAGUAACCUCUGUCCCUGUGUGUGAAGAGCUGAGAAUUUAGUUUUAGGAGCAAUAAACUAAGGGCUUGUUUGAAUUGUAAAAACACAAGCUGAAAAGGGCUGACUUGGGUGUGAGAAGAGUUAAAUAGAAAAAGUUCAGCUCCAUCUCACAUAAAGUUUGCACUGUCUACAUUACCCCCAAUAAACUUGCUGCCAUUAUGAUUUUUUGUUUAACCUUCUGUCCAUAAAGGCCUUAACAAUAUAUAAAAUAAACCCUGGCAAUAGCCUUCAGUACAUUUUUCCAAAGGGAAUUUUGUUACAAAUUUUUGUCCGUGUUUUCUUGAACUCUUGUGCAUUUUUAAGCUGUUUUGUGAUGUGGUUUGGCCUCUGUUGAGUGUCCUAGUCACCUCCAAAUUACAGUGGCUGUUCCCACACUUCUCCUCAUGUCCUGACACACAGGAGGAACCAGGGUGUCUCUGCAGCCUGGGCAGACUAUCAGUCACUUGGAAAAAUGCCUGUUGGCUCAGCUCCAGGCUGCUGAGAGCUAAGUAGGCUGAUGGCAUUCACCCUGAGACAGAAAUCACUACCUCUCUGAGUGGGAGAUUACAAGAAAUUCAUGUAUGUAUAGUACAGAGGGUAUAUAUAUAUAUAUAUAUUCAUCUACAAACCUAUAUAUAUAUAUUUAAAAUGACAGCUGGAAAGUACCUAACGAUUAAAUGCAGACAAAGUCUCUCCCUGCAGAAGGCCAGGAGCCCAAGAGCUGGAAGGGAUCAGCAUCCCCUGCCUGGUCAGCCUGGGAGCAGCAGCUCAGCCUUUGACCCUGGGUGGAGCCUGGUUGUGUCUCCUGGUGGUGUCCUGGCCCACGGGGGUGGCCUGCUGGCCCUGUAAUUUUGCACCCCUCCGAAAGAGCUGGAGAUUUGAAAAAGAGAAGUUUGUGGCAAUGGUUUGGUCUGUGCAGUUGGUUUGUAGCUAAGAUCUCAGGGUAUCAAAACCCAAAAUGAAUCCAUGUCUCAGUCUAUUCUCAGAAACUGAACAUAAUGUGUCUUUUAUAAUGUUCUGCUGCUUGGAGUACGCUGCCAGCUCUUCCAAAUUCAGUGUGUGCCUUGCCAGCCAACAGUCUCACAGAAAUAUAGAUGGCUCUAGAUGAGCCAGGCUGGGCAGAAUAAUAUAGAUAUAUUUAUUAUGACACAAUAAUCUGCAAGCUAUUUUGUAUUGAUAGGCUUUCAUGUCUGAUUUUUUCCUGAGGUCUGAGUGAUAUUUUAUAAAAAUUAUAUCAGGUCCCUGGACAUUAUAGAAUAGAAACAUGUAAAAAGGGGGUUGAUGCUAAAGUUAUAUUAACCAAAUAAUUCAGAAUGAAAAAGCUACAUUUCCAUGAAACUCUUCUCUCAGUGGCAACACCAUGUCUGGUCUAUUUGGCAGAAAGAGGAAAAACAAAGAGGAGAUGAUCAGGAGCAGAUAACAGUUGCAUAAAUAUUAUGCUUAUCUUGAAAUUGGAUUUAUGUCUAGAAGCAGUGUUAAUAAUCAGAGAAGAUAACCACAUAAUUUCAAUUAUUAUAAAGUAAUUUAAGUGUUAAAAGGCUGAAAAUAUUUGCUACUCUUGUUUGAUUCAGUACUAAUAGCAUUACACAGCUUUUUGUUUAAUCCUGGUUCUUUUACCUUUUACUUUUUCUUGUAUCCAAAAGAUACCAAUAUUUUGCCUCACCUUUUCAUCUCAGAAAAGAGAUGAGAGAGGAAAAGGACAGAGUGUUUCCCUCAGAAACUUAGGACUCUGAAUCCCUCAGAAUAUGACUCUGAGGAGGUGGGAAGGCACUUGUUAUUAAAACAAACAUGUAAUUGUAACCUUAGUCAUUGUAAUAGCUUUAUUCCCAUGAGAACUGAAUUUAAAAGAUUAAAAAACCCUUGGGAAUUGAAAGAAGUAGGAGAGGAAACAUCUCCUAUCCAAAAUAGCCACUGUGACUGCAAGAGAUAUUUGGAAUAGUUGUAUUGUGCACUGGGGAAAGGAGGGCUGUGAAGGUAGCUUGGUAUGUAUUUGUUCUUUUAAGGCACAGCUGACAAAAAUAGAUAAGAGGCAGAGAGGCUGGGUCUAGUAAUACUUAUUUUUAGCUCAGUCAUUUGCAUGAAACUGCAUUGCAGCACAUUCAAACAAAGUGGAAACAAAAGCCACUGAAUUUUCUGCAUCACA